rnacentral:rRNA from 1 species
AACGAACGCUGGCGGCAGGCUUAACACAUGCAAGUCGAGCACCCCGCAAGGGGAGCGGCAGACGGGUGAGUAACGCGUAGGAAUCUACCCAUCUCUACGGAAUAACGCAUGGAAACGUGUGCUAAUACCGUAUACGUCCUUCGGGAGAAAGAUUUAUCGGAGAUGGAUGAGCCCGCGUUGGAUUAGCUAGUUGGUGGGGUAAAGGCCUACCAAGGCGACGAUCCAUAGCUGGUCUGAGAGGAUGAUCAGCCACACUGGGACUGAGACACGGCCCAGACUCCUACGGGAGGCAGCAGUGGGGAAUAUUGGACAAUGGGCGCAAGCCUGAUCCAGCCAUGCCGCGUGAGUGAUGAAGGCCCUAGGGUUGUAAAGCUCUUUCACCGGUGAAGAUAAUGACGGUAACCGGGGAAGAAGCCCCGGCUAACUUCGUGCCAGCCGCCGCCGUAACAC